CCUCGAACGUCGGACAUCAUUAGGGCUGAAGCAGACGGAUGUCAAGGAGUUUGAAUCGAGUGAGAGCAUUGAACUCAAAAGGGACAGUGUCAUUAUAAGUCUAUGUGUCUACCUCAAUGAAGACAGCAACACGCUCAUCAAGCAGUACUUGCUUCCUCACCAUUGACAUCCUAAGGGGGAGAUCUCUCAGACCACAGUGAGGAUUUCUGUGAUUCGCAGUGAAGGUGCUGGUAAAGAGGAUAAACCAGAGGAUGUCGGAGUGGUGACUGAGGGUAAACAUUUUGGUGAGCCUGAUGUGCGUGACUGCACUUGGCGUGUAUUAAGGAAGGCGUUCUCAAACACGCUGGCAAAGAAGCUCAACUGGAGGGGGGUUAAUGGAAAGACUUCUUUGGCCUCCCUUAAA